ACAUGACAGAUGAUGCUGUGUCCUUCAACAGGGACUUCUGGCAGGUGGGGUGGUCACAGCCAUCUCUAAGGCAGCAGGAGCACCUAUCGAGUGGCUCAAGCUGCUGCUGCAGGUGCAGCAUGCCACCAAGGAAAUUACCACAGAUAAGCAGUACAAGCACAUUAUAGACUGUGUGGUCUGUAUUCCCAAGGAGGAGAGAGUCCUGUCCUUCUGGCGUGGUAACCUGGCCAAUGUCAUCAGAUAUUUCCCCACCCAGGGGCUCUCAACUUCGCCUUCGAAAUAAGUACUAGCAGAUCUUCCUGGGUAGUGUGGACAAGAGGACCCACUUUCAGCACUAUGUUGCAAGGAACCUGGCAUCAGGCGUGCGCUGGGGCCACAUCCUUGUGUUUUGUGUACCCUCUUGAUUUUGUCUGUACCAAUCUACCAGUGGAUGUGGGUAAAGCUGGAGCUAAAAGGGAAUUCAGAAGCCUUGGUGACUGUCUGGUUAAGAUCUACAAAUCUAAUAGGAUUAAGGGCCUGCACCAAGGCUUUACCAUGUCUGUGCAGGGUAUUAGCAUCUACCCAGCUGCCUACUUCAGUAUCUGUGACACUGCAAAGGGAAUGCUUCCAGAUUCCAAGAGUACUACAUCAUCAUCAGCUGAAUGAUUACACACAGCCUGUCAUUGUCAUUGCAGGGUUGAAUUCCUAUCCAUUUGACACUGUUCACUGCUAAAUGUCGAUGCAGUCAGUACACAGGCAUUUUUGACUGCUGAAGGAACAUUGCUCGUGAUGAAGGAGGCAAAGAUUUUUCAAGGGUUCAUGGUCCAUUGUUUUCAGUGGCAUGAGUGGUGCUUUUGUGCUUGUCUUGUAUCAUGAAAUCAAGAAGUACA
rnacentral:lncRNA from 10 species